GACGAACGCUGGCGGCGUGCUUAACACAUGCAAGUCGAGCGGUAAGGCCCUUCGGGGUACACGAGCGGCGAACGGGUGAGUAACACGUGAGCAAUCUGCCCUUCACUCUGGGAUAACCCCCGGAAACGGGAGCUAAUACCGGAUACGACCACUUCAGACAUCUGAUGGUGGUGGAAAGUUCUGGCGGUGGAGGAUGAGCUCGCGGCCUAUCAGCUUGUUGGUGGGGUAACGGCCCACCAAGGCUUCGACGGGUAGCCGGCCUGAGAGGGUGACCGGCCACACUGGGACUGAGACACGGCCCAGACUCCUACGGGAGGCAGCAGUGGGGAAUAUUGGACAAUGGGCGAAAGCCUGAUCCAGCAACGCCGCGUGAGGGAUGACGGCCUUCGGGUUGUAAACCUCUUUCAGCGCAGACGAAGCGAAAGUGACGGUAUGCGCAGAAGAAGCACCGGCCAACUACGUGCCAGCCGCCGCGGUAAAAC
rnacentral:rRNA from 1 species